CAAGUCCUACGGGGCGCAGCAGUGAGGAAUAUUGGUCAAUGGGCGGGAGCCUGAACCAGCCAAGUCGCGUGAAGGAAGAAGGUACUUAGUAUUGUAAACUUCUUUUGUCGGGGAACAAAGGCGGAGACGCGUCUCCGGAUGAGUGUACCCGAAGAAAAAGCAUCGGCUAACUCCGUGCCAGCAGCCGCGGUAAUACGGAGGAUGCGAGCGUUAUCCGGAUUUAUUGGGUUUAAAGGGUGCGCAGGCGGGCGAUCCAGUCAGCGGCAAAAUGUCGGGGCUCAACCCCGGCCGGCCGUU
rnacentral:rRNA from 1 species